CUUUAGCCUGUUUAACUUCAACUACUAAUUCCUUAAAAGCAUAAAAUUUUACUUCUGCAGGGUCUUUUGGAUUUUCUUAUUGUCUUCUUCGUGAUGCCUGUGAAAGAAAAUGAUGAACAAGAUCGUUUCUCUUAAUUUCAGAGCUGUGCUUUUUUUAAUAUUCUCCUCUUGAUUAAUGUGAAAGCUGGAUCUCUUAGACUUGUUAUAUCCACAGACAUAUAUACGACUAUGUUGAGCUAAAGAAACAUAGAAAUAGUUGUUCUCUAUGAGCAUUUUGACUAAUUAGUGCUAUCAAUAUACAAAUUCGGUUCGCUUGCCUUAGACCAUUGUGUCGAACUUGAAGGUGGACUGUCCAAAUCCCUGAAAGUCUCCGCUUCUUGGAUCUUCUAUAGAGAAAUCCUUGUUCGGUUUUGAUGGAUUGGUUCUAAGAAAUCUUAUUUUGAUAAUGCAAAGGACUUGUUGCAGGGAUAACAUCAGUCUCCUCAUAUACUGAUUGCAGAACAUAUUUGAUCAAAUGCACCUUUUAAAGCCUGAUCCAGUACAGGAUCUCCCUCUGGUCCUCGAGCAACUCUG